GACGAACGCUGGCGGCGUGCUUAACACAUGCAAGUCGAACGGAAAGGCCCUGCUUUUGUGGGGUGCUCGAGUGGCGAACGGGUGAGUAACACGUGAGUAACCUGCCCUUGACUUUGGGAUAACUUCAGGAAACUGGGGCUAAUACCGGAUAGGAGCUCCUGCUGCAUGGUGGGGGUUGGAAAGUUUCGGCGGGUGGGGAUGGACUCGCGGCUUAUCAGCUUGUUGGUGGGGUAGGGGCUUACCAAGGCUUUGACGGGUAGCCGGCCUGAGAGGGUGACCGGCCCCAUUGGGCCUGCUCUACGGCCCCGCCUCCUACGGGAGGCAGCAGUGGGGAAUAUUGCCCCAUGGGCGGAAGCCUGAUGCAGCAACGCCGCGUGCGGGAUGACGGCCUUCGGGUUGUAACCCGCUUUCGCCUGUGACGAAGCGUGAGUGACGGUAAUGGGUAAAGAAGCACCGGCUAACUACGUG
rnacentral:rRNA from 1 species